rnacentral:rRNA from 1 species
ACAAGCGGUGGAGCAUGUGGUUAAUUCGAAGCAACGCGAAGAACCUUACCAGGCCUUGACAUGCAGAGAACUUUCCAGAGAUGGAUUGGUGCCUUCGGGAACUCUGACACAGGUGCUGCAUGGCUGUCGUCAGCUCGCGUCGUGAGAUGUUGGGUUAAGUCCCGUAACGAGCGCAACCCUUGUCCUUAGUUACCAGCACGUUAUGGUGGGCACUCUAAGGAGACUGCCGGUGACAAACCGGAGGAAAGGUGGGGAUGACGUCAAGUCAUCAUGGCCCUUACGGCCUGGGCUACACACGUGCUACAAUGGUCGGUACAAAGGGUUGCCAAGCCGCGAGGUGGAGCUAAUCCCAUAAAACCGAUCGUAGUCCGGAUCGCAGUCUGCAACUCGACUGCGUGAAGUCGGAAUCGCUAGUAAUCGUGAAUCAGAAUGUCACGGUGAAUACGUUCCCGGGCCUU